rnacentral:rRNA from 1 species
GAUAACUACUGGAAACGGUGGCUAAUACCGCAUAACGUCGCAAGACCAAAGAGGGGGACCUUCGGGCCUCUUGCCAUCAGAUGUGCCCAGAUGGGAUUAGCUUGUUGGUGAGGUAACGGCUCACCAAGGCGACGAUCCCUAGCUGGUCUGAGAGGAUGACCAGCCACACUGGAACUGAGACACGGUCCAGACUCCUACGGGAGGCAGCAGUGGGGAAUAUUGCACAAUGGGCGCAAGCCUGAUGCAGCCAUGCCGCGUGUAUGAAGAAGGCCUUCGGGUUGUAAAGUACUUUCAGCGGGGAGGAAGGUGUUGUGGUUAAUAACC